rnacentral:rRNA from 1 species
ACUCCUACGGGAGGCAGCAGUGGGGAAUAUUGCACAAUGGGCGCAAGCCUGAUGCAGCCAUGCCGCGUGUAUGAAGAAGGCCUUCGGGUUGUAAAGUACUUUCAGCAGUGAGGAAGGCGGGUGUGUUAAUAGCACAUUCGUUUGUACGUUAGCUGCAGAAGAAGCACCGGCUAACUCCGUGCCAGCAGCCGCGGUAAUACGGAGGGUGCGAGCGUUAAUCGGAAUUACUGGGCGUAAAGCGCAUGCAGGUGGUUUGUUAAGUCAGAUGUGAAAGCCCGGGGCUCAACCUCGGAAUUGCAUUUGAAACUGGCAGACUAGAGUACUGUAGAGGGGGGUAGAAUUUCAGGUGUAGCGGUGAAAUGCGUAGAGAUCUGAAGGAAUACCGGUGGCGAAGGCGGCCCCCUGGACAGAUACUGACACUCAGAUGCGAAAGCGUGGGGAGCAAACAGGAUUAGAUACCCUGGUAGGAUAGCG